UCUGAGCUGCCAGCCCAGAAGCCCGACCUGGGGCUCGAACUCACGAACUGAGAGCUUGUGACCUGAGCUGAAGUCAGACGCCCAACUGACUGAGCCACUCAGGUGCCCCGCAGUGUAAUUUCUGAUUGCACCCCCUUUCCCUGUUGGAGGGGUCCAGAAGGUGGAUGCCGGGUUCCCUGCGAGACCAGAGCAUAGGGAGGCUGAGGAGAUCUCCAGGAAGCGCCUCUGCUGGGGUUUUCUGGAGGUCUCUUCAGGUGCCCAACCAGGCAGGAGCAUGGGGCUUGGGGCUGGGUCUGAAUUCCCCACCCUGCGCUGAGAGCCUCCCCUAUCGAGGUUCGUUCGUGUGGCCUGCCCUGAGGCAUCCAGGCACAGCCUGGUGAUAUCUACCCCAGAUAGCUGGGGACCAGGCCCUGCCUUCCUCAAGCCUCAUUCCUGAUCCUGAGGCACACGGUGCCAGCCCGCAGGCUGGGCUGGAUGUCUCGGGCCAGCACGAGGUGGAGUACAGAAGAUGGUCGGCGGCAUAAAUACGGGGGUGUCAGAUGGCAGCAUCCAUGUCUUCGUUGGAGACACCAGAAAAGUCUUUGGGGGAGGCCGUGCAGGAGCAGUGAGCAGCAGAGAAGCUUGGGACCAUCUUUGGCAGUAUUUUCCAACUGUACCUUGCCAUCCGGGAAUGGGAGAACCAGCCUUUUGGCAGGGGUGGGGGUGGGGCAAGUGGGGGGAAGGAAAGAGAACACAAAAUAAAAGCAUAACACUUGUAGUAAGAGAAACUUCAGGGGGCGCCUGGGCGGUUCCAUCGGUUGGGCGUCCGUCUUCGGCUCAGGUCAUGAUCUCACAGCCUAUGAGUUCGAGCCCCGCAUCUGUGCUGACAGCUCAGAGCCUGGAGCCUGCUUUGGAUUCUGCGUCUCCCUCUCUCUCUCUGCCCCUCCCCGGCUCCCACUCUGUCUCUCUCUCCUUCAAAAAUAAAUAAACAUUAAAAAAAAAAAAACUUAAAAAAAAAGAGAGAGAAACAUCAGUUAACAAAAUUUUGUCUCAGUUUUAGGUUUUAUAAAUAUUCAUGUUGUAUGUGUUGCGUCCUGAUGUUAAAUGCAUUUCAAAAACAUUGGGAAAAUGGUAGCUCAGUCCAACCCCAGAGAGGCAAAGUGAUCUGUGCAAGGUCACACAGCAGACCAGUGUGAGGACCAGGCAGCGAGAGGACCACUCGUUGCAGCCCACCCGUUGGCUCAGCAGCUGAUUUCGGCGCUCCUGAUCUAUGCCUGCAGGUGCUGGAUGCUGAAAGAGGACUGCUUGCAUGACUAAGGCACAGAAGCCAUUCUAAUGCAAGCAGUGUGUGCGGAGCCCACGGGAGAGACAUCUGGCCCAAUCCCCAGUGGGGGAUGGGGACUGGGAGUGGGAAAAGGCAGGGGGGGGGGCAUCAAGAAAGGAUCCCUAGAGGAGGGGUCUGUGUGGUUAGAUGUACGUGUGUUCACAGAGUGAAAAGAGCCAUCCAGAGGCUCUUUUUUAGAGGGCACGCUUCGGACAAAAGCAGGGGAAAGGGGGUGCAAUGUGCACUUAGGGGGACAGGAGAGGACACUAAUCUGAGUCUGGAUAUCAUUUUGAGGAUUUACUCCCUAUACUCUGAACUCCUUUUCAAGGCUCUGCCUUCUCCCUUCCCCAUUCCCCAUCUCUUUGGCUCCAGCUGGGGAGGGGGACCCCCCCCCCAAAUAGCCAACAACUCCAGACCGGUGUGGAGCCUCGGCCCAGGCCCUGACCUCUGGCUCCUGCAGGCCCCUGUGCUCUCUCCACUCACGCUCUGGGCCUCUCGCCACCCAGCCUCCUGAGGACGGGGAUGGUGCCCCUACAGAACGUGGGAGGUGAGUGGUAAACACUGAGUGAGUGGACACAGGUCUGGAGGGGCUUUAUGCCUCUCUGCACCCCAGGCUCCUCACCUCCUAGGUUUUAGACCCCCUUCCCAGACCACCCUGGGGUCUAAACCCUAGGACGGCCUGGGGCGGGGUGAACUAGGUCCCCCUAGCACCCAUCCCUUCCUGGAGGGGUGCCUCUGCUGUCUCUCAGCACCCCACUGGAGACAUCGCUGGGCUUGAGGCAAAGCAGGAGGUAGGAAGAAAGACAAAUUAACACAAAGAGUACUGGACUGGAGCUUCCCUAUCGACGGCCCACAAGCUACGAGAUGUGCAGCCAGCGAUUUCCCUACUUUGGGGAAAUCUGUGCCCCUGGCUACAAAAAGAAAGUUAUCUAAAGUCCCCAUGGGCCCCAGAGGCUGAAUCUCUUCCUUAAACGCAACCUCUUCCUCUUUCUAAGCUUCUAACCGCAACCCCCUAGCUCUCUGCAAAAUCCUCGGGCAACAGUUUGCUCCAGACUGAGAACCCCCGAGCUGGAAGCAAGACUCCACUCGCCCUGGCUCCCUGGGCUCUUUCCCAGGAAGUCCCGCCCAGACGGCUUUGAUGGAAGUACUAGGGACAGGGUGCUAAUGGGCUGUUGAUGAAGCUCCUCUGCCUGUAUGAGAGUUAAUUACUCCGGAGGCCAGGGAAGGAUGAAUACUUCAUAAAGCUGGAGCCACCUGUGAGUGAGUCAUUCGUCCUCCAUGGUUGUAAGAGAGAGUGAUGGGACGGCUCAGAAGAUGGGGGUCCCCAGAUGCUCCAGGAGCUGCCUCUCACUGCACACCCAGAAAGACCUCUUCCUCUCACCCCCACAUCCGGAUGCGACUUGGCCCGGCUCACUAGGGGACCCUGGCCCCUCCCCUCCUCUCUCAGACCGGGUGGCGUGCUCUGACCUGCUCUGACAUGGGCAUAUUUACCUGCGCGGCAUCUGCCAGGACCCAGCCCUGUGCCCUGUCACCCAGGAGCUUGGAGGGGGGGUUUGGAGGGGGGGCUCAGGGGCCAAGACCUCUGCCUGCCACAGGAGGCACUAGCCUGGGAAAGAGAAUAACCACAGGCGUGAGAAACUCCCAGCCAGGCUACAAGCAGUCAACCCAGGAGCAUCGGCCAUUGUGGGCUGGAGACGUGGGCGUGGGCACUGUGGUGUGACAUUUCCCUGACUGUCACACACACACACAGCCACAGGGUGUGGGUGGCAGAUACCCUAGGGAUCCUCCUUACCCAGCACUUAGGUCUAUGGCAGUUCCAGGGUCCCAUGAGGGCUUGGUCAGAGCACAGGAAAGAGGGGACUGGCCUUGUUCCAAAGACAAGACUGUCUACAACUUCAGCUUCCUCGACUGCCCCCCUGAGCCCUCAGAGCCUCCUGAGGGGCUCCAGAGGUUCCCUAUCUGGAGCGGCCAAAUCAUCCACUGCAGCAACCACGGCCUUCUCCUAGCUUUCUGGUAGGAAGUGGGGCUGUAGGUAGGUAGGGGUGGGGUGGGGGAGGGCAGCCUCCUGCCUGCCUGCGAGCUGCUCCUGUGCAUUUCUCACCUCAGGAAGCCAGGGGUGGGGGGGUGGGAGGCACUCCUGGGAAUGCCCCCAACACCUCCCCCACCAGCCUGGAGGCCCUGAAGCAAGCCGACCUCUCUGGGGAUGUUCCCUCUGGCCCCCUCAGUCAGGCUCAGGCAGGAUUUCAGGCCAGGCCUCAGUGGAGCUGAACCCCAGCCCCAGAUGAAUUUGUCCCCCCACAGGACACAGCGAUGCCUCACCCCAGGGCUGCAUUGGACCAGGGGUGGGGAGAUAUGAGCGUGAGGUACAGCAUGGGGGACCAGAGAAGGAGGGGGGCUGUCCCGGGGGGGGGUCUCCCAUUCCCGCUGCCCUCCCACCUGGACCACGGCCUCUUUGAUUUUCACAUCCUUCCAAGACUCUAACACAACCUUCGUUUCCAGGAAACGGUCCCAAGGGGAGCACACUUGUUGGGGUGCAGACAUCCACCCUCCGGCCUUCUCCCCAAAACUUCAUCCCUGUCUCCACCACUGUCCUUCCCUUGAGUCCAUCCCUUCCCCUCUCAGGACCUCAGUCUCCUCAUCUGUAGAAUGGGUGCUUUGGGCCUGUGAUCUCGAGGUUCCCCCCCUGAUGCCCCCGCUCCCUCUGGGCGAACUCCAUCCUCCUGGAUUCCAUUUGGCUCCGCGACCAGCUGGGCCGCCUCAGGCAGGAUUUCAGCCUCUCUCAGCCUGUUCACUCCUUUUGUACACCAGGGUAAUAUCCUUCGCCCUGCUGCCCAGGGAGCCUGUGUGAGGAUUAAAUCUUACCGCGGAUGAGAAUGAGCCUUGAAGCCAUCAAUGAGCUCUCUGCAGAUGUGUGAUAGAGGGAUUGCAUAAUUCUGGGGUCUCAAAGUGACAGCUCAGCUCUGUUUUGUUUGGCUUGCCCAGUGUAAUUUCAUAUCUGAAUGCCAUUAGGCAGGGAGUGCACUGUCCAAUAUGCCCGAGGCCUCCCCACCGCCUGCUCUCUUAGACCAGCCAGCCCUGUCAUAAAGCUGCCUUCGUGUCCAGCCUCAGUUCAGUGGUAUCCGAGUCCCCACUCCCAACCAAAGGCUUCUGGGGUCCUAUGGGCGCCUCCCAACAGAGAGACCACACAGCUGGGGCAGCUGCUUCUGCCCCCUGCCGUCUGCUGCCAUCCCCACACCUUCCGAUGCCUGGGCGACCCUGGCCUCCUGGGCCCGUGGAUACAAAGGGGCCCACGGGUGCUGCCUCCAGCCACAGCUUAUGACAGAUUGGUCCCAUGGUUCUGAAAUGGCUGCAGAGUUUUCCCUUUUUCUGUUCAGAAAUUUGCCCAGUCUCCCCCAGCCUCGGCCCCCAGUCUGUACCCUGCCUGUGCUCCUCAGACCUUAAAGAAUAUUUAACCACCUGUUAAAUGAUUUAUCCUAUUGAGGCUUCAGAGCUCAGGGCAUCUCACGGGCCUCCUCGAGAAUUAACUAGAGCCAUAAAUCAAAGCGACAUUUGAGAAAUUUCCAGCCGCCCCAGACAGCAGGCAGUGGCUCGGGCCCAGACAGGGGAAAUGGCAUUUCGAUGGGGGGAAAUGGCAUUUAGGACGGAGAAGCAAGAGUGCCGGCUGGGAGUGGACUUCAGGCUGGCUCGGAAGGAGGUGGUGGGCCAAGGACGUCCUGCUUCUAGAAGGCUCUGUUGGGACUGCUCUCGGUUCUUUGUGUCACAUGCAGGCAGCGCCUCAACCCUUCACGUGUACAGAACCUAUGGUGGGCAAAGAGCUUUCCCACCUGUUGGCCCAUCUGACUUCGAAACAGCUCAGGAGACUGGCCUCCCGGGGUAGAGGCAGCCUUGACUUGUGCCGGCCCAAGAGUAACAGGUGUGGCGGGACACGGGGACCCGACAGCGACUUGAGUCAAGGCACAGUGGUAAAAGGACCAGGUGAGGCUAUGUUCGGAUUCUGGGUGGGGAUUUAGGGGCAGGAGGGAAGAAGGGUAGGAAAAGUUAACUGAUAAUGAGCCAGGCUGCAGAGACGGACCCCGCAGUUCCCACAAGAACCUAAGGAGUUUGGGAGGUAGUUAUUUAAACCAUUUUACAAAUGAGCACACUGAGGUUAGCUGACGUGGCCAAAGUCACGCGGCCAGCAAGUGUCAGAACCAGGAGUUUAACCCAGACUUGCCCGACUUCAGAUUCUGUUCUUUUCUUCCCCAUUAUCAGGCCUGCGAAAAAUAAAAUCGAAAAUGUACCGGGCACUUGGCUGUUCGUGGCACUCCACGGAGAGCCUUACCUGUGUUACUACCUGGAGUCCUUAGGAGGAUCCUGGGACGCUGGUUCUCUUAUUCUAGUCAUUUUGCAGGAUCCUUCACGCCACUGAGAAUGGCCUGAGGCUGGUGUCUCCAGACAACUGGGAUGAGGCAAGGCCCCUCUCAUGGGGACCACGGUGAGGAGUCCCUGCAGGCAUCAGGCCCUGGUACAAAGUAAGGUAAGGCUGCUGGCCUCCCACCCCCCAACCUGGCUCGUCAGCCCAGGCCCACCCCACCCCCAAAGAGCAGGGCUUGGACAUGCCCCUCCCCCAUCUACCCCUUCCCAGAGUGUAAAUUCAGCCAAGUUCACAAGGAGACCAGCGCCCCCUAGCGUCUGCUCAGGGCACAUUCCAGGCUCCCUAGGCUUGAAGCCACUCUGGCUACUGGGAAAAAGGACGAGAGACACCCCAAGCGGCUUAAACACACUAGUGAGGCAAAGCAGGGUACGUUCCUGACCCCACCUGCCCACCCUGAGGACUCAUGCUGCCCUCUUAACAACCCCGCCCCCUCUGAGCCCAACCACUCUCCCCCAGUCAGACCCUCUCACCCUGUGCCUGUUUCUUAGGCCAGACCCCAGCUUGUCUUGACUCAGAAUGUCAGAGUCAAAAGGGCUCAGGGACCCAGUGUCUUCACAGACAUGAAGACUGAGGCAACAGGGGGCAAAUGAUGCCAAGGUCUGCAUCCCUGGCACACAGUGAAGGCUCCUUUGGGCGAGCAGCCAGCACCGAUUUGCAGAGGCCCAGUGCGGCUGUCAUUGGAGUGACUUCUGUGGCCGGGCCUGCCCCCUGGCACUGGCCCCCCAGCCCCACCUCCCCCAGCCACCUGUCCCUUCACCAGGCUGCGGGCCCUGCUGGGGCUUGCCUGCUUCUGCCACUGGGUCCCCUGAGAGAUGACCUAGGAACGGAUACGUGGACCGAAGCAUCACAAGCAGACUGAGCAGGGAGUGCCGAGACCCUGAAACCGGAGGGAGGAGGGCACGCCGCAUGGCCACAGCGAGGCCUCUGGGCUGGAGCAGGGGGAGCGUGCUGGGCCCCUGAGAGUGGGCUCUUAGAGCUGCCACUCUGAGUAAUGACAUCAGAACACCCCUAGUACGUGGAAAGGACUCAAGGGCUCCCAGACAAGGGAAGAAGAAGGUCCUUCCUACAUCAACCAUUUCCUGUCCAUGCCAAGAGAGGGGAUAGUCUAGAACCUUGUGGGGGAGGGGAUUAGGGGUAAGCAUGAUGCACCUCAGACCUCAGACUUGAGGCCAGAAAGAAAGGCCUGGCCUCUCCUCAUGGCUCUGUCAGUGGAGCCCCAGGGUCACCUGCCCCCAAGAGUGGCUUUAAGAGGCUGACAGGCUCUGACAGCUCAGCAGGUCUCCAAGCAACAUGCACGUGGGUGCCCAGCCCAGCUCUCCUCCCUCACUGCAGGGGUGCGGGGUCCUGGGCUGGGAGCUGCUCCAUGGAGGUGGCAGAGUGGCUGGACUCGCCCUGCCAGACGGUCUUUUGAGGUCCUGGGGGAGCCGGGGGAGCCAGGAGGUCAUGGUGGGGGUUGGGGUCCUCCCCAGUGCCCCUCCAGAGACUCAGAGGCCGCUCCAGCUUCCUGUCUCCGGCCCCAGGGCUCAGGAGGAACAAGAGAGAGGCACAGUCUGCAGCCAGAAUCUGGGAACCCAAGCUGUCAUUUGGGGGCACGGCCAGAGAAGGCUGAUCUCCUGUAGAAAGCAAGAGACACCCAAUGCCUGACACAAAUGUUUCCUAGCUUAUGGUGGCUUGUAGGCUGUCAUGGAGAUUUUCCAUCACUGCUCUCCUUUGCUUGUCAUUAUCAAAGAAGAUCCACAGAGAUCUGGCACUAGCACGGUGGCUAGUGUUAUUCUAUGACAGCUGCAAGAACACAGGACAGAGUGAUGGCCCCCCAUCCCCAGACCAGGAGGCUGAGGCCUAACGGUGCAAAAUGCCCAGCCCGGGGCCCAGCGGUGGGUCAGGGCAAAGGCCGGUCCAGAGUUCCUGGUCCCAACUCCCUCUUCCUAUCCCUCCCCAGGCUUCCGCAACUCCAGUCUUGGCCUUUAAUGCAACAGACCUAGAUGCAGACCCCAACCCUGACUGACCCCAGUCCUUAAACAAGCAACAUUCAGAACACAGACCCCCAAAGAGGGUCUGAAGCUUUGAGCCUAACCCGAAAUUGACAAGAGUCCAGAUUCUACCCCAAUUCCAAAUCAGUUUCGGUCCCUAAAGUGACCCUGACCCCAGUCCUCCCCGUCCCUCUCCAGUCCCAGCUCUGGCCCCAGGUGUAUGAACAUCCCAUUCAUGCCCCAUGACAAAACCCUGCCUGGGACACAGGCUGGGUCCAUCUCCGUUCCUGCAUUGGGGUCAGAGAGAUUAAACGACUUGUCUUAGGUCAUGCAGAGUGAAUAGUGGAAGUGAGCCCGGAGCCCAGGUCCCUGAAGCUCUGGGGUUUCUUGGCGUGAGUGGGUAGCAGGAGGCCUGGAAGGUGCUGGCGGGGCUGUGGCGGUGACAUGGCAUCUGGAGAGGUCAGCUGCUCCGUGAUUGCUCAUCUCCAUUUUUAGAGAGGAGAAGACUGAAGCCCAGUAUCAGGCCAGCGGCAGAGCAGGGCAAGAGCCCAGGUCCCCCGGCAGCCCACCCGGGGCUCUCUCGCUGCCCCACACUGCCCUCCUGUCACUCUGUAGCGGCUGGGCUGUGAGUCGUUGUGGAGGAAGAAACGAAGCAGGAGACUGCACAAGAUCACGGACAGUGGAACGCUAGUUUCUAGUCCUCACACCUGCAGAAGUGCUGGAAACGUCUGCCUGCCCUCGGAUGGCCGAUACAAACUCACAGGUGCCUUUAACUGGGAGGCUCUGUGGGCCUUGGAGGAGCCAGCCCUGGAGACCCCUGUACCCACAGCGGGGUGUUCAAGUGAGCCGCCUGCCUGCACCCCCAUUUCCCCUGUGUGCAAUGAGACCUUAUAGCUAUGUCAGGAUGUCGCCAGUGUUAGGAUCGGUUGAGGGAUCCCUGGCUCAUUGUAGGAGCUCCCUGACCUCAGUUCCCUCCUCUGUCUCUCCCACCCUGUCUCUGGGGAGUUACCUCUGGGCAACCCUUCUCUCCCCCACCUGCCUCUGUAGCCAGCAAAUCCCUUGGGACCAUGCACUCUGCUCUCAAAUCUGGCCUGGAGGAGUGGCUUGUUCACACCAACAGUGGUGAGGUGUGAAGACCGAUAACCCUGAAUCCUCAGGAAUGACUGGAAGGCCAACCAAGAGUAUUCAGCCCUGCCCACCUCUGGAACAUUCUGGUGGGCCACUCAAGUGUGGCUGGCAAGUCCCCAGGGCCUGAGUGGAAACGCCAAAAAUUUGGAGUGAGCCUGGAGGCCGAAGAAUGAGGAGUGAUUUAGGGCCUGCACCUGCCGUGGGGCCGAGGGGCCGAGGGGCAGAGGCAGGGGCCCCGGGGUGGAGGUCCAGGCUGGGAGCACACAGUGCUUGAAGCCCAGACAGAGCAGCAGCCAGGGUUCCCGGACAGGCAGAGGGUAAUCCCACCAGGAGAAGGCAAACGGCCAGAUGGCAGAGGGAAGGCACCGGCUGCAGCCUCCACUGGGAAAAUUCAUUAAGCCUUCAAUUAGCGCAGGCCUGCCCCUGUCGGCUCCAACGGGUGCCUGGGGCCCCGGCUGCCCUGCCCCAGCCAGGAGUUAAUAAUUCACCCUCUAAUGAACUCAGCCUGGAGACAGCCAGAACCACCCACCUACCCGCCUGCCCGCAUGCCAGGGCUCCGGGCCGGAGGGAGAGGUGGGAGCGCCUCUCUGGUUCCCCUUCUCCUCCGGGAGUCAAGUCUUACCACAGGCCAGCUGGAGGGGGGCUGGCACUGCAGACCCCUCGCCCUUGGGGACCUGUGUGUCCUCGUCCUAUUCCCGGAAAGCAACCAGAGCCCCAGUGUGUCAGAGCAGAGAGGCUCCAGAGGUUUCAAGUCUGCUGUGCCUGCCACUGUGUAGGGUGCUGGGGACAAAGAUGAAUUAGAGCCCAGCCCUGCCUUCCAAGAGCUCACUGUCAGCUGAUGGGGCAGGAAGCGGGGCGGAAAUAGACCUAUAAUGGUCUCAGCUGAGGACUGGAGGAGAGCUAUUCCCAGGUGGCCAGGUGAACAGCGAGGUUGGGGUCCUAUAGUCCUACCCUUUGUUUUAUGGGUGAAAACCUAGGGCCCAGAGAAGGCAGGUGAUUAGCCCAAGGCCACACAGUUAUUACAGGCCAGGACCAGAAUUGGAACUCAGGCUAGAACCCACCUCUGAGGCUAUAAAGAGUGUACCUCCCCAUGCCGAACAAGACAAACUGAGGUCCAGAGAAUCACUUAGUUGGGACAUCGAACAGACCCUCCUGGUGUCCAUGCCCCGACUUGAGAAUGGCUGGCCCUCCGAGGGUCAUCUCACACAGCUCACCCGCUGGUAACUAUUGCCCGAGAGUCCACACUUCCUUUUCUACCGAGAGCGCUCUGGCGAGCACUGGCCCCUCGAGUUCACGGGCUCCUCCUGCCCCUUCCGCCGCCCCAUCUCCUGCUCAGCACCCUGAACCAUUACCCCAGCACCUCAGGGCCGACGGAGCAGCCACCAAGCGUGGCCCGGUUCCACCUGACGCUUUCUAGCACCGGCCAGGACCAGGUCAAAGCCCACAGCCCAGACACGAGCUGCACCAGAAUCGCCCAGGGAGCUGUUUCAAAUGCAGACUCCCCGGUCCCACCCAGGACCCAGUGAACCAGAAUCUCUGGGAGUGGGUAAUAGGAAUCUGCAUUUCAAAUAGGCUCUCCAAGGCUUUUCAUAAAUGUUAUUAGUGGAUACGUGAACACAGAAAAGUGUACCGGCCAGAAGUGGAUUGCUUAAUGCAGUUUCACAAAGCGUACCUGUGGACUCUGCACCAGAUCAAAACAGGGAACAUUAACAGGCCUUCUGAAAUCCCCCUCAUGCCCCCUUCCAGUCACUAAGUUCCCCGAAGGGUGCCACCAUCCUGACUUCUAACAGCUUAAAUCAGCCUUGCUUGCUUUUGAGCGUCUUAUGCAUAGGAUUAUACAGACAUUUGCCUUUUCUGCUUUUUUUUUAAAAGAUAUUUUGUUUUAUUUAUUUUUAUUUUAGAGAGAAUUAGUAGGGGAGAGGAGCAGAAGGAGAGGGAGAGAUAGAAUCUCAAGCAGGCUCCACACGCAGCAGAGAGCCCCACGUGGGGCUUGAUCCCACCACGCUGGGAUCAUGACCUGAGCUCACCCGACUGAGCCACCCAGGCGCCCCUCCGUUUCACACGGUUUGGGAGGCCCCCUCACACUGUUAGGCACAGUAGUGGUUUAUCUACGCUCACCGCCGAGACGUAUUCCAGCCUGAUUGUGCCACGUCUUGUCUGCGUUCUGCUGGCAGCAGGCAUUGGGUCGUUGCCAGCUUUAGGAUAGGGUGGCUAUGAAUAUUCUGUUCCCUGUAUCUCUGUGGACACUUGCAUGCGUUCCUGAAGGGCACACAUCUACUACGAGUAGAGUGGGAGUGGAGAUGUUGUAUUGCAGAGUGCGUUUGCGUCCGGAUUGCAUAGAUGUUGCCAAGUGAUUUUCCAAGGUGGCCGCACCAACGCAGACUUCCGCCAGCUCUAGGAGUUCCACUGGAUCCGUAUCUUCGCUGGCACCUCGUACAUUUCUCUCCCUGUCUGAGCCAGUCUGGUGGGUGUAUCGUUUUAUGUGGUAUCGUUUUAUGCUUCCACUUGCAUUUCCCUGGUGACUAAUGAUGUGGAGCACAUUUUCUUAUAUUUAUUGGCCAUUUGGGCAUCCUCUUUUAUAAAAUGCGUGGUCAGAUCUUUUGCCAAUUUUGUAAUCCAAUUGUCUGUCUUUUCCUUAUCGAUUUAUAGGAGUUCUGUAUACAUUCUGGAUUCUGAUCCUUUGUUGGAUAUAUGCAUGCAAGUAUCUUUUUCAACUUGG